UGUCUGCUCUGUCUGCAGAAUUUCAAUUUCCUGCCAUCUUGAUGUUCAAGCCUAAGGCUUCCAGACUUGCUGGUCUAUCUGUGCAGCGGCACGGAAGGCCCUUGUCAAAGCACACGUUCCAGUUUUUGGCUCAUGGGUGUGCUCGACGGACCCUCGGAGCAAGGUCUGUAAAGCCCCAGCGUUCAAGAUUUCCCUCCCUGCCAGGAAUGAAGAAGACUGUCAUGUGGCCUGGGAAAUGGGGGUCGGGUGUUCGAGGAGCAUCUGAGUCCCUGGAAGACCGGGGGGUCGUCCCCAGCAGGUGCCAAGGACUGAAGCCCCCAAGGAGUCAGCAGUGAGGUCCUUGUCCUGGGAGGAGGGAGCUGCUAGCGUGCAUUUCCGGAGCAUCUCACAGGUGAGGGCGCCAUGCAUGGCAAGGGGCGAGGACCAGGGAAGGAACACGCGCGGGGCCGGCGGCUUUGAGGAACUUGGAGCGUGGUGGGGAGCUCACCACAGCGGAGUCACCUCAUUCUGGCUCCGCUGGGAGGGAGGCCGUGUGUCUGCUGGUGGGUCAUUCCAUCGGAGUCCUCCAAGAUACAAGAGGGGACAGAGACCUGACUGCUCUGUCCCAAGAGCCAGGAGGCACUCAGUGGCAGGUG